UUAAAAUCAACUUUAAUAGAUAAAUCAAUACUUUGCAGCGGAAUAUUUUUCGAUCACUUAACAUUAAUAACCAUCAAUAAAUUCUGGCACAAAGGCCUCAACAUAAUUUUCCAUCAACAAUUUGUUCAACAACAAUAAAGGCUCCAAUAACAUGUUCCAAAAAUUGAUACAUAAGGAAUGAAAAUAAAACAACAAUUUCUCAUCCCGUUACGUAUCAGAGCCCUAUGACACUUGAGCCACCACUUCUAC
rnacentral:lncRNA from 1 species